GACAGAGGAUGCAAGCGUUAUCCGGAAUGAUUGGGCGUAAAGCGUCUGUAGGUGGCUUUUCAAGUCCGCCGUCAAAUCCCAGGGCUCAACCCUGGACAGGCGGUGGAAACUACCAAGCUGGAGUACGGUAGGGGCAGAGGGAAUUUCCGGUGGAGCGGUGAAAUGCGUAGAUAUUGGGAGGAACACCAGUGGCGAAGGCGGCUACCUGGACCGGUUCUGACGCUGAGGCGCGAAAGCGUGGGUAGCAAACAGG
rnacentral:rRNA from 1 species